rnacentral:lncRNA from 1 species
CUCCUGCUCCCUGUCCUGCACUGCAAAGGAGGCCUUUUCAUCCUCUCUACUGCCUCCAAUUUUUCUCACGAGGAAUGUGAGAGGAAAACCUAGAAUGGGCAGAUGAAUCUCUGAACAAGACAGCUCAUGACACGGUUUAUUGGAGCCUUCCUCAAAACCCAUCCAAGGUGAGGUGUCAGAUCCCCGGCGAUGGAAAGCAGUCAACUCAUGGGUAGUAAAAAGAAUGUAUUGACAACACUAUAGGUUUGAAAAGGAAAGUUUUAUUAGAUGGAAAGAACAGUGCAGAAGACCGCAGCAGAGGACCUCAGCAAGAGAGAACUAAUUUGUCAGUUUCAAAUACUCAUGUAUCUGAUUGUCAAUGCUGGAGAGCUGGGGCCAGGGCAGUAGUUGAUGAAUAUCACCUGACUGUCUCCUGCAGAAAAAGCAUUCCCAGAAGCACGGAGAAGUGAGGAGAAAAGGCAAUGCACCUGGAGCUGGAGACCAAGGCCCUGUUCUUACUGAUGGCCCUUGGAGCAGAUAUUUGAAUUGGAGAGAUAAAACCGUGGUUUUUGGGGUGUUAAUUUUGGUGGCUGAUGCAUUCUGUGAUUGAUUUGGCUAUUACAACUGGUAUUGAUUUUAAACACAUUAAUUGCAAAAUCUCAAUUGUGAUUUGAUUUCUGUAUUUACAAUACUAAAAACGAGGCUUUCGCCAGGAGAAGACAAUUGGCAGUACUCAGUUGGAAGUGCUUAAUUGUUAAUAUAUAUCAGCCGUGGUUCUUCAGCGUCGUCAGUGUUGCUCAGUCUUGCUCUUUGUGGCGACUACUGAAUGCUUGAAAAAUUCUCUCCUAUACUCCCACUCUGCACUGUAGAAGAGAAAGAGAGGAGAGUGGAAGAAAAAAGAGAGGGAGAGGAGAAAGAAAGAGAGGAGAGAGAAACAUGGGCAUGGAUGAUACAUAAGGUAGUUGUAAACUGUGAUCAGCUUUGAUAAUAACUAGAUAAAUUCUUUUAAUACAAAAAUAUAUAAGGCAUUUUGCCUUUUUUUCAAAUUUCAAAUAAAUGGAUUUGUAUAGAAUGUAGUCUGUUGCCCAGAGUUUUCAUUUAGCAUAAUGCAUUUGAGAUUUAUCCAUGUUGUUGUAUAUUCUUUUUAUUGCUGAGUAGUAUUCCAUUGUGUGGAUAUACCAGUUUGUUUAUCCAUUAACCUUUGAUGGAUAUUUGGGUUUUUUUCAAUAUGAGGCUCUUAUAAAUAAACCUUCUGUAAUCAGGUCUUUGUGUAGUCACACAGUUUGUUUGUUUGUUUGUUUUUUAAAAAGAUGUUAGUAUUGUAAUUGUGUUUAAUAAGAAACUGUUCAGUAUUUCUGCAUGUCUACCAAAAAUACAUGAAAUGUUA